rnacentral:misc_RNA from 1 species
GAUGAAGAACGCAGCGAAAUGCGAUACUUGGUGUGAAUUGCAGAAUCCCGUGAACCAUCGAGUCUUUGAACGCACGUUGCGCCCGAAGCCAUUAGGCCGAGGGCACGCCUGCCUGGGUGUCACACGUCGUUGCCCCCCCAUCUACUCCUUCGGGAUUGCGGGGGGCGGAUGAUGGCCUCCCGUGCGCCUCGUCGCGCGGUUGGCAUAAAUGCCAAGUCCUCGGCGCCGCACGCCACGACAAUCGGUGGUUGCGAAACCUCGGUUGCCCGUCGUGUGCGGUCGUCGCGCAUCGAGGGCUCGAAAAAAUUGCCGGGCUCCGGCUCGGCUUUCAACGCGACCCCAGGUCAGGCGGGGUUACCCGCUGAAUUUAAGCAUAUCAAUAAGCGGAGGA